rnacentral:rRNA from 1 species
UACGUAGGGACCAAGCGUUGUCCGGAAUCAUUGGGCGUAAAGAGCGUGUAGGCGGCUUUUCAAGUCUUGCGUGAAAUCUCGGGGCUCAACCCCGAGCGGUCGUGAGAAACUGGCAGGCUAGAGUGCGGGAGAGGAGAGUGGAAUUCCUGGUGUAGCGGUGAAAUGCGCAGAUAUCAGGAAGAACACCCGUGGCGAAGGCGGCUCUCUGGAACGCAACUGACGCUGAGACGCGAAAGCGUGGGGAGCAAACAGG